rnacentral:rRNA from 1 species
GCAAGUCGAACGAGAACGGAUUAAAGCUUGCUUUAAUUGUCAGCUAAGUGGCGCACGGGUGAGUAAUAUAUAGGUAACCUGCCCUAGAGAGAGGGAUAACGUUUGGAAACGGACGCUAAUACCUCAUAUGCCUUUAAGUCAAAAGACUGCAAGGGAAACAUUUAUGGCUCUAGGAUGGGACUGUACGGUAUCAGUUAGUUGGUGAGGUAAUGGCUCACCAAGGCGACGAUCCCUAGCUGGUCUGAGAGGAUGAUC